UACGGAAGGCAGCAGUGGGGAAUAUUGCACAAUGGGCGCAAGCCUGAUGCAGCCAUGCCGCGUGUAUGAAAAAGGCCUUCGGGUUGUAAAGUACUUUCAGUCGUGAGGAAGGUGUUAAGGUUAAUAACCUUAGCAAUUGACGUUAGCGACAGAAGAAGCACCGGCUAACUCCGUGCCAGCAGCCGCGGUAAUACGGAGGGUGCGAGCGUUAAUCGGAAUUACUGGGCGUAAAGGGCACGCAGGCGGUUAAUUAAGUUGGAUGUGAAAUCCCCGGGCUUAACCUGGGAAUGGCAUUCAAGACUGGUUAGCUAGAGUCUUGUAGAGGGGGUAGAAUUCCAUGUGUAGCGGUGAAAUGCGUAGAGAUGUGGAGGAAUACCGGUGGCGAAGGCGGCCCCCUGGACAAAGACUGACGCUCAUGUGCGAAAGCUGGGGAGCAAACAGGGAUUAGAUACC
rnacentral:rRNA from 1 species